rnacentral:lncRNA from 1 species
UUUUUUUUGGUUUUGUUAUUUUGCGAGCGUUCACCGAACCGUUCGUUUUAACGAACGCGUUUGUCGGUUUUUCUCUGUUAACGAACGUCCGUUCUUUAACCGUUCGUCCAUUUUUCUUUUUCGUCGGAUUUUUCCGCUAUUUUCUCAGAUUCGAUUUCUGAUCGAAUCUUCGUUUCUGUUUAACUUUUCGCUCGUUUAUCGGAAUCAGGCGAUUCAAGCGCCUAGAGUUUCGUCUCGAAAUUCUCUUUCCGUUUAACCUAAUCAAACAAGUUUUUGCUACUGUAAAAUUUGACCUAGAUCCAUAUUAGUAAACGAAGCUUGUUUCUUCCGCAGUUUGACUUCCGUUGCUUCUUUCGAGUUGAUUCUUUUUGCAAACCGGAGUUCUUAAGUUAAACUUUCUGGUUGGAUCUUUCAUUCAAGUUUUACCUGUGCAUUAGAUGAGUACUUAUUGUUUGCUUGUUUGUUUGCGAUAGAGUACCCGGAGUGUGCCGCUUGUUACUUCGAAUCGCUAGGUUUCUCGGAUCAUUAGCAAGGCAAGUAACACUUUGAUCAUACCUUUCCAUACCCAGUUUUUAUUGCAUUAGAUCUAUUCCUCAAAUGUUGCAUGAUUAGGAUCUAAUUAAACUGUGGGUUUUGGGAAGUAGUUGAGGUAGUACCUAUUACCUGUUUUAUUAUCAAACCCUUGGGAGUUACUUCUACGUUGCUAUUAUAUUGCCAUGCUAUGCUCGUAGACGUGGAUUGGGUUUGAGAGAAAUUCAUGACAGAUGUGAGAUUGUUAAUAAUGGUUUACCUAAGGUGGCAACUAAAACUCACAUCUGGGUGGAUUGAGGCACCUGGAGAAUCCAGUGUUGUCUGUUUGUGUAAGGACCGCCACCCAGGCUCAAAGGGAUCAUAAGAUUAUUCAUGCCGGAAACUUCCGUGUGCAACCACAAGCUAUUAUGGGCUCCAGCAUAGUUGAGUAGGUUACAUGAUCUCUUGAAGAGGUGGGCUAGCAGAUGUAGGGGAAAGUAGGUGUACCGGUCCAUCCAGAGUAAAGAGUGAUUGUUUUUGAAAGACUGUGUCUCGGUCAUCCGUUUCUCAAACAUCAUGUAGUGCGAGAAUCAAGCGGAGGCGAUCGAGUCUUAUGGGGAAAAGUGCGCAAACCUCUGCAGAGUGUACAAACUAAUCAUGGUUAGCCGUGUCCCCGGUUAUGGACAACUUGAGUAUCUAGUACCUGGAUUAUCAUUUGAAUCUCAUCACCAUGUUACUUUUAAUUAAUUUUGUGGGUUAAUGAUGACACUUAAUUGGGAUUGAGUUGGAGGUACCUUCUCAAUGUUUAACAACCACCAUGAUAGUUAAAUAAAAUUUAUUCCUUUGCAGUAGGGAAAAAAAUUGGCUUUUCGCAUAAAACUUAACCAUAGAGCUUUCCACCAGCCAUAUAUGCAUGUAGUAUAGCACUAUUAUUGUUCAUUAUUCUCUAUGUGUUACAUUGCCAGCAUAUUCUAUGUGCUGAUCCGUUUUUGGGCUGCAACGUUUCAUGUUGCAGACUUUUCAGACGACGAGUAAGGUGCCUUAGGUUGUGGUCUUAUACUCAGUGAUGCCGCUGGAGUUGAUGGACUCACUUAUCUUCCAAGCCUUCCGCUGUUAUCGUUUUAGAUGGCCUUAAGCCAUGUUUAUCAUACUUAAUCUCUUCGGAGAUAUUCGAUGUAAUAAGUGUGUGAUUGCUACUCUGUUAUAAAUCCUUCAUUUGUACUGUGCGUGUCAGCAUUACUGAUCCAGUGAUGACACUGGUGCACAGCAGCACAGACCAUUUGAGGUCUGGUCGCUACACGUACGGGCCUGACGAUGUGCAUGUACGAGUACCUAUUAGCUAGAUAGCACAAUGGGUCUAGCUAGGUGACCUUUCUUGUGUUGUGUGAUGUGUUAACGAGGGAGUACUCGACAUGGUCGGUAUUUGAUGAUAGGGAAAGGAUGUUGAAUAUGGCCAUGUAUUGUUAGAUAUAUGACAUGUAAGUUACUUCUUAGAUUCAAGACCCUCAGAACAAUCCUUGGUCUCAGACAAUGAAAGCCAAUAAAAAAACACAUGCUAUCAGCAAUGGUAGGCACAAAUCCAAACAUGAGCGCAAAUAGUGGAUACCUUAAGGACAAUUAUUCCGUAAGACAGCAAAUCAUAUCUCUACCUUCCUAAGCAUUGUUGAUUAUCUUUUCUUUCUCUAGCACAAGACACUAAACUCGACCGAUACAAUUGUGGAUCCUAAAUUCAUGUGUUUUAUUUUUCAGCUUGUAGCACAUGACAACACACAAUAGCAAAUUGUAUCGUAUGAGCUAUUAUAAUGAACAUUUGCAAUCCUUUUAUAAUAAUGAAUUAUAAACUCACAACACGGUAACAUAUUAAUGUGUGUGAAAUUCCUAAAUUCUAAAGUAGGACUUAUGUUUUAUAGCUGAUUUUAUAACUUUUAAUGUGUGAAAUAUUGAGAAAUUCACAUGAAAUGCAAGCAUGAGUGCCAAUUGCACAUACACUUCUAUGAUAACUCAUAUAUUUAUACUCACUUAUUAUGUAACUAUAAAUAUGACAUGUUUUGUUAAUCUAGCUUAUUCGGCCAAUUUGGUCAAUAAGGGUUGCUAAAAUGUAUGAAUGGGAAAAGCACAUUCUUCUCAAAAAAACAAAAAAUAAUGGGAAAAACACAUGAUUAGAGCAUCACGCCAUCUUGUAUAUAUCAAUGACUUAAGAACCGAGCAUAUUGUACCAUAUCAUACUUAUAGAUUGAUCUUGUCGAAAUUAACUAGAGCAUUUUUAGAGAUUCUCGGGCAAUUAAAGUUUAGGCUUGAUCAACACAUGCCACAUAACACAUCCAUCAACAUAUAAUUUGUUUUAGGAAGAUGCAUCAACCCUUCAUAGGUAAUAUUAGAGUUGCAGAUGAUCAAAACAAGCGUGAUCUCGCAGUAUGCAUGUUGUUCUGCUUAAUUUCCUUGAUCAGUGUACUGUCUUGUUUGCGGACUUCUCAACCAAUUGGUGGCCGAGCAUGGAAAGCGUGAAUGCCCGGAGAUUUCAAAACACCUCCCAGGAUAGAUUGGGAAGCAAUGUCGUGAUCCGUGGACAAAUCCCCUGCACCCCGACCUCAAGGUCUGCUUAUUCUUUUCAUGCAUAGCGGCUUAUAAUCUUUAUUUUAAUUAGGGGGAACCUUGCAUAGAUCUAUACUUGAUUUGGAAAUCUAAGUUGUUUUAGUUAAGUUUUUAAUAGGUUCAAACUAAAACAAUUUAGACUAAAAGAUUAGAAAUUUUAGUGGCAUGUGCCAUCUGUGCUCUCUUGUUUUUGUUAUAUUAUGAGCAUAAAUUAAAAUAAUUAAACCUAAUUGAGGUCGCAAAUCUCCACCCUCUACUCCUAUAUUUGGAGAAAAAUUAAUAGAUGUAUGGAUUAUUAAUUUCCCUCAUCGUUUAUAGAUGUCAAUUAUAUCUUCCUUAUUUUGACGACACGAGUUUCUGGAGUCUUCGGCAUUAGGGGUGGGCAAAAGGGAGCCAUGUUAUAACUCAUAUAUUUGAAAUAUAACCAUAAGAUACACGCUUAUUAUACAAAUAUAAAUAUGACCUGGUUAGUUAAUCUAGCUUAUGGGCCUCUUUGGUCCAUAGGGGUUGCUAAAAUGUAUGAAUGGAAAAAACACAUUCGUCUCAAGAAACAAAAAAUAAUGGGAAAAACACCUGAUUAGAGCAUCACACCAUCUUGUAUAUAUCAGUGAAUUAAUAACAAGGUAACAUAUUGUACCCAAACAUACUUAUAAACUAAUCUUGUAGAAAUUAAUUAGAGCGUUUUCAGAGAACUCUCGGUCCAUUAAAGUUUAGACUUGAUCAACACAUGCCACACACCACAUGCAUGAACAUAAUUUUGUUUUAGGAACAUACAUCAACAUUCAUAGGUACUAUUGCAGUUGCAAAUGAUCAAAACAAAUGCCACCACUGAUCAAAAUUAACCACGUCAAUUUUGCACCCAUCCCAAGCCACAUAAGAUGCCAAAUCAUGAAUGAAGCAGCCCUGAGCUUCAGCUUCAGUCAACGGCCUGGUCGUUCCACUUGCACGAGACACACCACACACAAGAAACCUGUCGAAUCAAUAUCGUGAUAGAACUAGAUGUAGUUGGCGUUAGGUUUAAUGAUAACUUUGGACGACAUGACCAACCCGCCGCAGUAACCACCAACGAUGUCCCUCAUCAGGAUCGGUGUCGUGACGUCUAUGUUCAGUCAGAAUGUGCCGAAUUCCUUCAUCCAAUCCGCACUUCCUUUCUUAUCAUCAACGUUGUUGGUCGGAACCAAAAGUUGUGCACGAACUUGAACGCCACCGGCAGACAUCUUGUGGCUAGCGUCAGCUUCGACAAUGCAACCUCGACGUUCACGACCAUGGGCCCUUCCCUCUGUCGGUCGGCGAAGUAGACCUUUCCACAAAAUAGGAAGGCCGAGCAAAGCAACGAGUCUUCGCUGACCAUCUUGGAGCUUGGUGCCAAGAUCUUAUUAUCCCACUCAAAAUGAAGGACCAGCAUUGAGACUCUGACGAACGUGGCUCCUUUCACUUUAAACGGGUAGGGGAAGUCCUUGGCGUGGUGUCCAAUGCAGGGGCGGCUCAACAUGGGAGGGACGGAAGGAGUUCGAACAGUUGAAAUGCUACCCGCUGACCGGGUUCAAAAUAGAAAUGAAAAAGCUACUCUCGUGUACGAGGACGACGAUGCCACCGGACUCGGCCUUGAUGCCUGGCCUAGGAGAUGUGGGAGGUUCGCGAUGAUCUUCGGCUGGCUGGAUAGGUUCACCAUGCGGUCCCAACUAUGGCACUCGUUCGCAGUAGGAUCCAACAGAGCAGUGGAAGCGCUGGUCGAGGACGUUGUGCUUCUUGGGGUCAUCGGUAUGUUCCCUCCACUCCGUGUAUGCUGCCCAGAAUCGCAGGUAGUUGGCGAUAUGAUUUACCAGUGCGUGCCUAGGGAUCUACUCCAGCAUGCCCUUAUGGAUGCCUACCCUAUAUAUCCCUCCUACAUACGCAAGCGCACAAGAUUACGACAAUGCUAGAAUGUUGAGCAAGACAGGGACGAUAAAGACCGAGACAUACCAGUCGGUGGUGCGGGUGCACGGCGGUGGGCUCAACGAUAGUCGACGACAAAGGAUAGAGGUCAUGGAGCCUAUCGAUAUAGUGUGAGAGAGAAACAGGGUCGGGAGGAGGUGAGGUGGCGGUGCUGCUAUUGCUAUGAGCUAGGGUUUGCAUCAAGGCAUAGAGGGUCGGUGUAUAUGUAUGUACUGGCUAGACAGGUGUGCGAUGCACUGUUGCUCGCUCCGGGAUAGCUGCAAAAUGGUAAUGUGGAGGGUAGUGGAAGAAGAAUACACGCGGUUACACGUUGUCGCUUCCUCUUGGCUAGCUGGAUGACGGCUUCAGACAGGAGGUUGUAUUUCUUCCUUUUUUUCAUGCUUGAACAUUAAUGUGCAUUCUCUAUUUCUUAUCUCCUCUCAUGCAGCUCUCCGACCACACAUGUUGGUGUACUCACGUCCCAAUUCAACGGACCAUGCACACCACGCACACCUGGGCUGCACCAUUUUAACUAUAUUGACCUUGGACAAAAGAUGUAAGAUACACAUUCGUAAAUUAAAAACUAGUAGAAAAUGAUGCUUGUUAACACACUUCUAUUGUGGCCAUAGAAUAGAAAAAGGUGUGCACUAUCAUGCGAAUAAUUUUUUGGCACAUUAAAAAAGUUAAUUUUCCAUGCAUUAAUAGGGAUGAUUCUGUGGUCGGUUUAAAAACAUGUUUAUGUGGUAUAUAUAAAGAAAUAUGUUUAAAAGAUCAUAUUUAAUUGAUGGAUUUAGCUAUGUUCCCUAAUUACAAUUUAUCAAAAUUAUUUCCGCAAGAAAUGUUGCAUCAUGCUAGUGGUGGAGCUUGUGCAACAUCUUUGGGGGGGGGCAAUGGGCUCGGGCAACCAACACCAUGCUUGGGCUGGAUUUCAGUGAUUCCAUGGGCCAUUUUGUUAAGAUAAUCUAAACAAAUCUCGUGGGCAUGGGGUGAUAGCUCAGGUUGGCCUCCACUAAGCUCCGUCACUACAUCACGUCAUUUGUGGAAGCGAGUUUAGGAGAGAAAGCAUAUUACGUAUGGCUGGCUUGAUAAACGGAAAGCAGUUACCGAAAAGAAGGCGAUCAAAAAGAAAACCAACCUACCAGCCGCAUGGCUUUCGUGCCAGAUUGGAUGACUAGAUUGCUUCUAAUUGUAGGGCUUUCGACCGAUUUGAUAGGAAGCAAAGAUCAGUGGUAAGAUCCAUUUUCAUAGGGACCCCACUGGCAAGAGCCUUUUAUGUGCAUACAACACACACAGAGUUGGAAAUUUGUGUCGAGCAAGGCCUCCCUGACAAUUGUAAAAAAAUCGCCACCCAAACUUGCACUCGCUCUAGUGAGGUGUACCGAUAGCUAGUUGGGACCCACUACGCAACAGCUAACCUCCUGAGGCAACUGGUUGCACUGGUGUACAUGGGCCAUAGAGAAAGAGCUGGACAGUGAUGGGGCCGACGUUCACCUUUCUCGUGAACCGAUUCAUGAAAUGUGUGUAAUUGGAACAUUAUAUCUUGGAAGGUUUUGUGUCGUUUGAUGGAAGUAGGGCCAUAGAUGAACGACUGAAGCGGCACCUCCUCCUCUAUAUUAUGCGCACCCUGGAUCUCGACAACGACUUGACUUUUUACCUUUGCCAUACUCUUCCUCUAUCUCUCGUUGGGUUCCUCCAAAAAUUCCAUCUGCUUCGCAGUUCUGACUUGCUUCCAACCUCCAUCCGAGCCCAUGGUGUCAUCAGUGAACAUCCUUUUCAACCAGGAGCAAGCGGUGUGGCCUGUGUUGGAAAAGGCAGUGCCUAGGAGGCGAUUAGGCAUGCCUAGGCGCUAGGCGAUGGCCAAACGCCUCGCCUAGGGCAUAAAUGGAAGUCUAGGCAGCGCAAGCAAAGAAUUGUCUCCCCAAGUGAGGAACAAUGUCAUAUUGCACUGAUAUGCCAAAUGGACCAUAUUCCAAUGGUAGUAGUUCGCAGUUAACUUAUUUAUAUGCCCUAAAUUAAUAUCAACAUGCAUAUAAUACCCACAAAUAUGCCCUGAUAGUAAAACAAUAUUACCGCCUAGGCCACGCCUAGGGCGCUUAAGCACCGCCUAAGCACUAGGCGAAGGCCAACUGCCUUGCUUACGCCUACCGCUUUUUUCAACCUUGGGUGUGGCAACCAUGAUAGCUGAGGCGGAAGGGAGGGUUGGAGGGUACUUCCCGAGCUCUAGCCAUAGUUUUUCGCACUUCCAGCAAGCUGGCACCACUUCGACCGGAAUCCAUGAACGGGAUCGCUCGUUUCCGGCUUCGGCAAGUCUCCCUCCAUGUUCGCCUUGCCAAAGGACCCCCUCCUGAUCGCUGGUUAUGGCGUUGCUGCCAUCCCGGUGGAGAUCCCUGAGUUCUAGCAAUAGAAGCCUUCCGCCAAGAACAACUGAGCGGUGGCACCGUCCAGAGGAGGGAGGUUGCAGCAAGAGGACGAGUAUGUGAAAGAGCUGAAUCUAAUUUGUUUUAAUAGCAGCUUGAUCUCAUGGUAUGUAUGUUGUUCUGCUUAAUUUCCGUGAUCAAUGUAUUGUCUUGUUUGCAGACUUCUCGAGAGAUUGGUGCCUGAGCAUGGAAAGCGUAAAUGGGCGGAGAUUUCAAAACACCUCCCAAGACGGAUUGGGAAGCAAUGCCAUGAGCGAUGGACAAAUCCCCUGCACCCCGACCUCAAGGUCUGCUUAUUCUUUUCAUGCAUAGCGGCUUAUAAUCUUUAUUCGGAAAUCUAAGUUGUUUUAGUUAAGUUUUUAAUAUGUUCGUACUGAAACAAUUUAUACUAAAAGAUUAGAAAUUUUAGGGGCACGUUCCAUCUAUGCUCUCUUGUUUUUUAUAUUAAAUUAAAAUAAUUAAAACCUGAUUGAGGUCGCAAAUCUCCAGCCUCUACUCCUAUAUUUGUAGAAAAACUAAUAGAUGGUACGGAUUAUUAAUUUCCCUCAUCGUUUAUAGAUGUCAAUUUCAACUUCCUUAUUUUGAUGACACGAGUUUCUGGAGUCUUCGGCAUUAGGGGUGGGCAAAAGGGAGCCAUGUUAUAAAUCAAAUCUUUGAAAUAUAACCAUAAGAUACUUAUUUAUUAUACAAAUAUAAAUAUGACCACCCCCGCAAAAAAAAUGACCUGGUUAGUUAAUCUAGCCUAUGGGCCUCUUCGGUCCAUAGGGGUUGCUAAAAUGUAUGAAUGGAAAAAACACAUUCGUCUCAAGAUUUUCUUUUUGGGAAAAACACGUGAUUAGAGCAUCACACCAUCUUAUAUAUAUCAACGAAUUAAUAACGGAGUAACAUAUUGUACCCAAGCAUACUUGUAAACUAAUCUUAUAGAAAUUAACUAGAGCAUUUCAGAGAACUCUCGGUCCAUUAAAGUUUAGAAUUGAUCAACACAUGCCACACACCACAUGCAUGAACAUAAUUUUGUUUUAAGAACAUAAAUCAACAUUCAUAGGUACUGAACUAUAAGAAUCUGCAAUGUCAUGGAGGACAAAGCAUAGUCAGUUUAGAUACAACAAUUCACAGUCCCAGAAUAAUUAAAAAUUAGUCAUAUUCCCCGCAGGUAACAUAACAAUACUACACACCAAAAAAUCAAGCACCAUACAAACCUGCAAUUUUGUCGGCCAAAUUUGUGUUGACCACAUGAAUAGCUCAUGCUCCUCGAUUAUAAAAGAUAAAAACACCAUCGUCUCUUAUUAUGAUAUUAAUAACUGCCGCUUUGCAGCUUCCUCUCUGUAAACAAAAAAUAGUUGCAAAAAUUAGUUCACUUAUGGCUAUCUAUGUUUGAGGCUAUAACAAAUCAAAAUUCCCGCAACUGCAUGAACAUAUGACGCUAUGUUUUUCUUGGAUAUGCCAAUGCAAACAAAAAACUGAACCUUGGGACUUUCUUCAAAUCAAACACGACAUAAGCAUAUGCAGUAGCGAAGCAGCACGAGCACGCCGAGCACACACCCAACACACGCGCACGCAGAGCACACAGUAGCACCAGCAGCAGUGCAACACACACACACAGGCACACACGUACAGAGGAUGCAAGAGCACACAGACGUACGCAGAGCACGCACGCACGCACAUACGCAUGCGAGAAGAAGAGUCGUGUACACAUAUGGCGUGGCGGCAGGAGGAGAGACUGCUCGGGGUGGCGUGGCGGCGUCCGUCCGAUGCUUCGGGCGGCGGCGCCGGCUGCUUGCUGGCAACAAAGCAGAGGUAUGGCGGGAGAGCGACUGGAUGCGGUCAGAGGCAAAGCAGGGGAGGUCGGCCGAGAACGGCGUGGCGGCGGCGGCCGCCGGCAAAGAAAGCCAGACCCCAAUCGACUGCGCCAAUACGCACAAGCCAAGCGAUACAGGAAGUAUCCCCAUUUACAGGCGAAACACUCAAAUCUUAGCAGCCAAUCGUAACGACAAGAACGCAUGACGGACGCCAACGACGGCCAUAAGAAAUGUGCUUAGAUGAGUUGCUAAAUAUAUUAAAUGUCUUAGCAACUUAAGUUCACAAUGCAAAGGUGCUAAGCUUUUGGAUACUAAGCUUCAUGCAUUUUAUUAGUUGUAGGCUUAAAAUUAUGCUUUCAACUAGGUACACGUAUUUGGAGGUUUAGGGUUUAGAUCUCCAACAGACACGCAACGCGCGGUGCGCUAAAAAAUUGUAUACAGCGCCGGAAUCGUCAGCUUUUGCGCGUCGCGGUGCGCUGGCUCCAGCGGCAGUUGCAAAAUAUAGCGCGCCUGAGCCGCUCCAACAGGCGCGCUAAACUGCAGCGCGCGAGCAACUGGCGCUUGCCAUAUCUUGCAUUUUGGAGACAAUAUGGUGAUAUUUCAAACAUCAAAACAAGACAUGACAUAGUUUAAAAUCAUCCAAACAAGUUCAUGACAUAAAAGUUCAAAUUCAUGCCCACAACAUCAUCCAACCAAGUUCAAAAUCCGAACCAAGUUCAUGACAUAAAAGUUCACACAAACGAAUGGCACAUCAACAAUCAUGCCUCGUCCUCGUCUUCAUCCUCCUCUUACUCCGAUUCAUCAUCCUCAUCCAGUGACGAUUCUUCCUCCUCCUCUUCAUUGUCGCGCGUCGCAUCAUCAUGUGGAGCUCGGAAGGUGUUGGCAAGAUCUUCAACGGCAUCAUGCGAAGGUGUGUGAGGCACAGCGGAAGGCAUUCCACCCAUGCCGCCAGGAGGUGCUCCCAUGCCUCCCAUGAGAGACGCAAAACUCAUGCCUCCCAUGGUAGCUCCGAAGCCACUCAUGCCUCCCAUGGCCUCCAUGGUAGCUCCGAAGAAACCCAUGUCACCCAUGCCGCCCAUGGUAGCUCCGAAGCCACCGAUGUCUCCCAUGCCGCCCAUGCCACCGCCACCCAUUCAGUGGCGGCGCCAGGAAAUGAAGGCUGGGUAUUCAUCCAAAAAAAAUUGCUCGAAAUGUAGUGAAUGAACCAAACAACACAACAGUAGCAACAUAUGAACAAACCAACACUAGCAUAACGGCAAUAGCAAUAUUUCAAUGUAUCAGACCAUAACGACAUGAAUACAUAAGUACCUUUUGAUUGAUAAAGUGAUGAUAUCCUUCUUACAAUAUAACUUUGCGGUCGCAUACACUGGUCAUUGACAGCAUACACUGAGAUGGGAAUCCGCUUUCCAGGAUCAUGUUCGAGUGCCUCCAAAUCAGCUUGCAUCGGUUCAUCAUCUUCAUCAAUAAAUUCAUCAUCUUCUACAUGAGGCGUUGAGGUUUCUCCUCUAUUCUCCGGUUCUUGCCAUAACACCAAUUGCAAAUUGCUCUCCAAAUGAACAGGAGAAGUACAAGUACUAGAUGCAGCUACGGUCUGAUUCGGUGUGGAUACUUCAUCUAUUUUCCUUGCCUUUGAAGACUUUUCCCACAUUGCAAAUAUGCUACUGCCAACAAUUCCACUCCUCUUCAUCUUCAUCUACGUUCGGCCAAACAAGGGGAACAUAAAUUUAGAUACUUGCAUCUGUUAAAUAGAUCGACUGCCUGCAUCUAGUAAUUUCAGCAAAUCAAGAAAUUCCUAAAUAGGGGGCGAGGCCACGAGGGCAGAGGUCGUCGCUGACGGUGUCCUGGACUAGGGGGUACUCACCACAUCGUCUCCCAACUAGGUGGAUCGGGCCGAGGACCCCCAUGGCGGUUCACUCAUGGGCCACUUCGGGCAGCCCAUGCCGCAUACAAGGAGUAUUCCACAAGACUUGGCGAUCAAGACAAGGACUCCUCUCCACCAACGUAUUCGGCUAGGAUUCUUGUUAUCCUAGGCCUCUGGUGCAUUAUAUAAGCCAGGGCCAGGCUAGUCAAUAGAUGAUUAUGACAUUAUUCAUCAUACCCUCAGGUUUUAGACCACAACAUAUGAUCUCGUGGUAGAUCAACUCUUGUAAUACUCAUAUUCAUCAAGAUCAAUCAAGCAGGAAGUAGGGUAUUACCUCCAUAGAGAGGGCCCAAACCUGGGUAAACAUCGUGUCCCCUGUAUCCUGUUACCAUCGACCUUAGACGCACAGUUCGGGACCCCCUACCCGAGAUCUGGCGGUUUUGACACCGACAAUGGUGCUUUCAUUGAGAGCUCCGCUGUGUGAUCGGCAAAGGAUCAAUGGCUCGACUGCAGAUCAACUGCGACGUCGGCGUCUUCGUCGCCGCCUCGGCUGAUCACCUUGGCUCGACCGAGGACUGCGCCCUACUUCCGAUCGUCAUAUUCGGACGCGGGCCUCCAUCAACAUCAACUCCGAUCCCUAUUAUGAUCAUGGAGAAAUCAUCCUUGGAGCUCGGGGGCUCAACGUCAACAUUGCCCUCGGGCGACCGCGCUGUUUUUCCGAACAGCAAACUUGUAUCCGUUGCCACCACCUCCUCGAGCAUCGUUUUGACCAUUCCUUUGGUGGAAUUGUGCGGAAUUAAGUCUACAACAACUGUGCAAAAUUUCGUCAAGUUCCGAUGGAGGAAUCUCCGGCAAUCUACGAUAUACCGGAGCCCUGUCAAAUCUGGACGGGAAUCUGGACGAGUUUAUGGCGUGGUCUCCAGCACCUAGCUUGGAUGUCCUUUGGAAGAUCCAACCGUUGAUCAGAUGUGGAAUUCCUAUAUCUACCACCCCUCAAAAUUUCAGCUCGAUCCGACCGUCCAAACUCCGGGAACCUUCCGAUUAGUGCAUCACUUUUCGGAUCUGUUUUCUGCGCGAAUACGGAUCCGACCAGAAUUCAUGUUCCUUUAUGAACGUGAUAUUGGAUGACCUUCUUAAAGGAAUUUUCUUCUAGGGUAUUGUGCGUUGUUCUUAACACGUGCCCAUAAAAUUUUAAGCCUUCUCUGAGGCACCCUUCACCAUUGCGCUGGUGUCAAACCAGUCCGGUAACAUUGCUCCAUGUCUGCCGACCUGCACUAGACGGAUCGUCACUUCAUCGAGCCGAGCCUAACCUUAUCGGAUCAUCAGCUCGGCAAGCCGAACAAGAGUUCGGCAUCGCGAAGGAUAAACCAUCACCAACACCAUCGCCCCACGGAUUGCACGGGUCAGGCGCGCCGACAUCGCCGCUCGGUCACUUCAUCAAUCCGGCAUUGACUGCGUCACAUGUUAUGACCAGCAUUGGCAUGGCCGCACUGCUGCUUCUUCAAGCCGAUGUCCAUCACGCCGAACUGCUUCAACACCUCGGCUGACAUGGCAGCUGCAACGUCUCCUUACCGACCCGCUCCAUCAUCUCGGCUAGAUCGGGGGCUUCGCCAUCUCUUCAUCAACCUACUCCGGUGGCUUCGGCGUCACCAGCCGACCAGCUUCGUCACAUUAGCUGGACCGGGGGCUUUGCUUCGGUGAGCCAACCUUUGUCAGCAUCGCCAUCCCGUCGCUUCAUCGUCCAUCAUGCAAUGGGUGUGCGGGUCAAGUCCCAAUUUUGGGAGUAACUUUUCUUCAUAUUGCUACAGCAGAUAAACCAGGUGCUAUUAAUCCUAAUAAUUUUCUUGUCUGGGUUUAUUUUUCCUGAGGAAUUAUUACUCUGGUUUGUUCCAUCAUCUGUACACAGGUGAUCGACUUCGACUGCAUCACGCGGUCACUUCCGCAAGCCGGUGUCAUCGUCCCAAUCGGCAUAAAUCGGCUCGCAUGAUCACCUUGUUGGUUGAAUUGCCAUACCGACAUGCUCGGUUGCCUCGGGGACUUUGGCAUCGUUGAGAGAACUCUACCUCAUCGAGUGUUCGGCACACGGGCCAUAUUUCUUUACUCACUUUGCAUAAAUUAUUAAUUAUGCAACAAUUUUUUUAUUAUUAGUCUUAUUAUCUCCGGCUUGCACUAUUUUCUGUGCACAGGUAAAUGAUCCGGGACGGGCAACACCGUCACCUCGGCGUAUCGAUGUACCACGUCACCUCGGCUGGACCGGGGGCUUCGUCAUCACUUCAUUAACCCACGCCGGGGACUUCGGCGUCACACUGUCGGCCUGCAUUGGCCGUGCUAUGUCGCCACUUCGGAGUGCCGAGCUCUUCGCUCCGCCACCUCAGGACUGGCUUGGGGGCUGGGACAUUGUCCCGCCGCAAGCUCGGGCCACGCAUCAACACCGAGCACAUUAACCAGCUAAGUCGCUUUCAUGCUCAAAAACUUUCGGUUUUAAAUUUUGUUCGGUUCGACCAAGCAUUAUACUUUUUGGCAAAAAGUUGUUUGUGACACACAAACUCAAAUACCUCGUUUGCUUGGGGGCUUCCUUUAUGAAGCCUUUCCUCUUGCAUGUGAUUAUACUUGUAUGGUUUCGUUCCUUGUUCGUGUAUUAUGCCACAAUAUGCACCAUGUUGACUUAAGUGUUCCGCAAGCUGGGUUGCCUCGCUCCUGUGUUUACCCCUAUGUUCCCGAUUGUUCGGCUAGGGAGUAAAGGGAGCACCUCUGCGAUUGUCACGAUCGGGUCAUCCGAGCUCGGACCUCAGACUGGGUGAAGCCGAAAGUUAGCACUCUUAUUGUUUUCAAUCAUGGUCGGCACACAACGGAACUCAUGAGUACAAAAAAUCUAUUGCACAAGUCUCAUAGUAACAAUGAGCAACCGAAGAAAGGUAUCGGUGGGGGUACUAUUUUCUUCGAAGUUGCUUCUUACACUUCGUCAGUAAUGUAGCAUAAGUUUCCAGAGCGCGCUUCGUCUGUUACAGCCUUAUGGCCUGAUUGCCUGGUUAUCGGAAACACCAUCGAUAUUCUCGACAGGUGGAGUACAUAACACUUUUCGGCCCUUGACCGAAGAGGGAGAAGCCGACGGUCGGUUAAGACGCGUUUAAAGUUCGAGUGAACACAGAUAUGAUAUAAGUACUUUGGUACAUACAAUCAUUAUACAUAAAAUUCUUUUACCCAAGUCACUUGGGGCUCUUAAAUUAGUAUGAGCUGUUUUAUAAUGAGUGUUCUUCUUAGUCAUUGCAAAGUCUUUUUCUAUCACUCCUUUUUUCGACGCGAGUGUGUGGUCAAUAGCCGGGGAGCCUAAUUUCUCUCUCAAAACCGCUAGAGUUUAGUUUGCUAAACUGGCCUAACAAAAAGUACUCCGCCGUUGGGAUAGGAGGUUGAAGCCGUAGGCUGACCCGCUUGAAGUCUUGAGAUAGGAUGUGACAUGUUAAAACAUGACAGAAGCACAAUUUUUUUUCUAAGACCAAUUUUCGGAUUGGCACCGAACACUUGAUCUAGUUCGGACAUCAAGUUUUUACUGAAGUUUUUUGGUUUUCCAAGCCUAUAGCGCUUUUUAACUAUUUGUGUGUUUCCAGCAUAAGUCUCGUAGUGCAACACCGGACACCUUUAGAGAUUCUGCAAAAACAUUCUCGGAUAUUGCUAUAUAUGCAUCGGUUUCGAAUUGUGUCUUUGGUCAAUAGUUGGGUUGCCCGGCUCCUGUGCUUGCCUCCUACGUUCCGCUUUGUUCGGCUAGGUGUGCAAAGGGAGAACCACUGCGAUUGUGCUUCCAGCUCGCAUGGCUAAGCACCUCAGUGGAGAAAGCCGAAAACUGACUGUCACAAUAAGCGUAAACUGGUCAGCGAUCUGAUGACUGUGUUAAAUGACGGGCCGUUCAUAACAUUGGCCGAAGUGUUUACGGCUUGACCUCGACUGUCGCCGAACACUAACCGGGGGCUAGUAACUAGCCUCCCAGCUUUAAGAUCCUAUGACUAAGUGAAAGUUAUAAAGUCCGCAUAUCUGAUUGCCUUGUUUCCGCUAACACAACUGCCUUCGGGCACCGAGACGUCGGCUAAGGGUUGUUUUGUUAUUACGGAAACACCCAGUGUAGCAUCUACAAGGGGGUGGAAGCCGACGAUGGGCCACUGAUAAACGGUCGCAACGGAGUCAAAAUAAACAUAUCAUCGGUGUUUGUAUUUAAUAUACGAGGGCCGCCUUCCGUAAUCAUCGUUAUAAAGCCAUAAAUAUGCAUCAAUUUGACUUAAGAUUUUGGUCAAGCUGGGCUGCCUGGCUUCUGUGCUUACCCCUACGUUCCCGAUUGUUCGGCUAGGCGGUAAAGGGAGCACCUCUGUGAUUGUUACUACCGGGUCAUCCGAGUUAGUACCUCAGACUGGGUGAAGCCGAAAACUAGCAAUCUUAAAGGAUCACAUUGGUCGGCAACGACGGAAGUGAAAAUUUUGGUUCAUUAAUACCAUAGAGUUCGGGAACUUUCCCCGACCUAAAUCCUCAAUAUUUUCCUCCCACAUUGAUCGGAGGUGAGGUUUCAUGAUCAUGAUAAGCAUGAUGACCCAAAGAAAGGAACCGAUAGCAGGACUAUUUUCUUUGGAAGAUGUUUCUUACAUUAAAAAGUAAUACAACAUAUCUCUCCGCAUACCUUUGUUUAUAAAACCGUAUGACCGGAUUGCCUUGUUUGCCGUAAACCUUUGCCCUUAUAAAGGCUUAAUAAAGUAGGACAAACACUCCCCAGCUACUGGCCGAGGAGGUUGAAGCCGAUGGUCGGUCAACAAAGUUUUGGACAAUGCGGAUCCGAGCAUUAAUGAUGUCAAGUACUUGGAUACAUAGAAUCAUUACACAUAAUUUGUGAUUUUACUCCGGAUAUCGAUCCUUAAUUCGGCCACCCGUGCCCACAUUAAGGCUCGGGGGCUACUGGGCUUCACGCUCAUUAUUUAUAAAUAUUAAAGGGGCACAUCGAUCCCCUGAUGUGGUGUUGCCACCCGACCAGUGUCUCGGGGGCUACUGCAUUGGCAAUCCAAUGCAGAAAAUUUAAGUGCAAUAUAGUUUUCGAGGAGAUUAUGAUCCUCAGGUUGGUCGGCCGCACCCAACCUGAGUCUCGAGGACUUUGCACACCACCUUUUGUGUCCCGAAGUAUUCUGCCGAGCUAGGAUUUGAUCCUCGGGCCGAUUUUGCGAAUCAACCUGAGUCUCAGGGGCUACUGGGAUCAGUGGUCUUAUGUCAUCCUUCAGGUGCAUCUCGGGUUUUUGACUGAUACACACCUUGAGGGCUACUCGCUAUAUAUCUCCGCAGAGAAUAAAUUGCACCAAUCAAAAAUAUUGACGAAAAAUCGGCCCGCAGUCGGGGUGGUGCACCACCUCGGAAGCAGUCCGGCAUAAAGCUCAAGCGCCAGUGGCUGGCUCCAUAGAGGGCAUUUCCGGCAUUAAGCUCGGCUAAACUCCUUCAACUUUUUUGAACCAAGGUGAUCUAUGACACCUCGGAUAUAGUUCGGCGUUGGAGCUCGGCUGUAACAAUACUCUUCGGAUACAGUCCAGCAUUGGAGCUCGGAUACAUUCCGGCGUUGGAGCUCGGAAGCGGUUCGGCAUUGGUGCUCCGCUGCAAAAGAUACCUCGAAUACAGUCCGACGUUGGAGCCCGGAAGCAAGAGGACACUGCCGCCUGGGAACAACUUCAAACCCGAGGUGUGGCAUAAAAAUAACAAGGCAUUGAUAAAGGCCGACAACUUAAAGGGGCUCCUUGGAUACCCGAUGUGUAAACUCUUCGGAUUUACUUCGGCGAUCCUCAAGAAGAUGAGAAGAUUUGUUGAACCAGUUUUCAAGACCGACGACCUAAGAUGAAGAACAGUUCGGAAGGAUCGAGGAGCGUCCCCAACUUGAAGACCGGUUCAGGGGGCUACUGACGGUGUCCUGGACUAGGGGGUACUCACCACAUCGUCUCCCAACUAGGUGGAUCGGGCCGAGGACCCCCAUGGCGGUUCACUCAUGGGCCACUUCGGGCAGCCCAUGCCGCAUACAAGGAGUAUUCCACAAGACUUGGCGAUCAAGACAAGGACUCCUCUCCACCAACGUAUUCGGCUAGGACUCUUGUUAUCCUAGGCCUCUGGUGCAUUAUAUAAGCCAGGGCCAGGCUAGUCGAUAGAUCAUUAUGACAUUAUUCAUCAUACCCUCAGGUUUUAGACCACAACAUAUGAUCUCGUGGUAGAUCAACUCUAGUAAUACUCAUAUUCAUCAAGAUCAAUCAAGCAGAAAGUAGGGUAUUACCUCCAUAGAGAGGGCCCGAACCUGGGUAAACAUCGUGUCCCCUGUAUCCUGUUACCAUUGACCUUAGACGCACAGUUCGGGACCCCCAACCCGAGAUCUGGCGGUUUUGACACCGACAGUCGCACCUUUUGUUUCUGUGCCGCGAGGGCUGGGGCGCCGCUGCCAGGGUUGCCCGUCCCUGCUAGGCUGCUGCUGCUCCCUCCGAGCCAAACAGGAGGGGCGGACGGGGGGCCAGGCGCCGCCGGCGUGGGUGGCGGGGCGCCGCUGCCAGGGUCGCCCAUCCCUCCUCGGCUGUUGCUUCCUCUGAGACGAAGAGGAGGGGCGGGCGUGGGGCCGGGCGCCGCCGGCGUGGGGGGCGGGGCGCCGCCGCUAGGGUCGCCUCCGACAGUUGACAUCUACCUCCGGUGGCGCUGCAUGCGGGAACGAUGCGAGGAGUGGUCGAGUGCGGCGACUGGUCGAGCGGAGGGCUAGAGGCUGUAAGGGCAUAUUUAUCCCUAAGAUGUUUUGGUGAUUGAUGACAAUGCUUUUGCGGACUAAUCGUGUGCAUUGAGUGUUUUCAGAGAUUCAUCCUUUUGGCACGAGACGAUUCCCUCCCCUCGGAGCUUGAAGCGAAGAUGGUGUAGUCCUUUCGAAUUAGUUUGGUGGACUAGUUUCAUAGGGAUCACCGUACUAUCAAGAGGGGGUCCGCUUUGGAAAGGCUAGGGCGGAAUCAUCACGUACACUUCCUUUGCCCCCCUCCGAGCCUUUCCGCUUCUAUGAUGGGCUCGUUCCCUUCUGAGUGUGCCCUCUCUGGUCCCAGCGGUAGUACCGCGGGCCGGAGCGGUAGUACCGCUUAUGGCUACAAGCGGUAGUACCGCUCUAGAGCCGUAGUACCGCUCUAGAGCCGUAGUACCGCUGCGGUCUCGUGCUAGUACCGCCUCGAUUCGAGGGGUCUUUUUUUGUGUCGGGUUUUACGGUACUAGCCGCGGCAGUGGGGGCCGUAGUACCGCUCAUAUGCGGUAGUACCGCCCUGACCACCGCGGUAGUACCGCUCUAGGCCCAGCGGUAGUACCGCCCGGGGGAGCGGUAGUACCGCUGUGAUCAGCGGUAGUACCGCUGCCUCCUGCGGUAGUACCGCUCUCUGCGGGGCUGGUGUGGGGGUAACGGUUGGAUUGUUCCCCCCACUAUAUAAGGAGGUCUUCUUCCCCAAAGUUGACCUACCUCUUCCCCCAAAAGCUCCAUUGUUGCUCCAAGCUCCAUUUUCGCCCGAUCUCUCUCCCUAGCCAAUCAAACUUGUUGAUUUUCUCGGGAUUGGUUGAGAAGGCCCCGAUCUACACUUCCACCAAGAGAAAUUUGAUUCCCCCACUUAUCCCUAGCGGAUCUUGUUACUCUUGGGUGUUUGAGCACCCUAGACGGUUGAGGUCACCGCGGAGCCAUAGUCCAUUGUGGUGAAGCUUUGUGGUGUCGUUGGGAGCCUCCAAUUAAGUUGUGGAGAUUGCCCCAACCUUGUUUGUAAAGGUCCGGUCGCCGCCUUCAAGGGCACCAAUAGUGGAAUCACGGCAUCUCGCAUUGUGUGAGGGCGUGAGGAGAAUACGGUGGCCCUAGUGGCUUAUUGGGGAGCAUUGUGCCUCCACACCGCUCCAACGGAGAUGUACUUCCCCUCAAAAGGAAGGAACUUCGGUAACACAUCCUCGUCUUCACCGGCUCCACUCUUGGUUAUCUCAUCCCUUUACUUUCGCAAGUUUACUCGUGUUAUAUCUCUUAUUUGCUUGCAUGCUUGUUGUCAUUGCAUCAUAUAGGUUGCUCACCUAGUUGCAUAUCUAGACAACCUAUUUUGAUGCAAAAGUUUAAUUUGGUAAAGAAAAGCUAAAAAUUGUUAGUUGCCUAUUCACCCCCCCCCCCUCUAGUCAACUAUAUCGAUCCUUUCAAUUGGUAUCAGAGCCUCGUCUCUUUAUUAAGGACUUAACCGUUCAAAGAGUAUGGUUGAUGCCGUAGACGGUGUGGAGGAGCACUCCGGUGUGAAUCCGGUCUCGUCUACGGGAGAUGGGGGAACCGCGGUCUCUCGUGAGGAAUUCAAUGUGGCGUUGGACACAUUGAAAACCUCCAUGACGACCGAGGUCGAAAGCAUGUUUAAUAAAUUCUUAGAAGGGCUUAAACUUACCACCGCACCGUUGAAAGUGGGUGAUCCCGCUAACAAGGUGACGGAUGCUACCUCCGACAAGGGGGAAGCUACUAGCGAGAAAGCUCCUUUUUCUAGUGGUAAAAAUGGGACCGGCAUCUUUGCCCAUGUGGAACCUCCACCUGUCUAUGGUGGACCGCUCCCUUCCACUCAUUUGAAUCGUGCCGUCCCGGCCCCUAAGAUUGAGAAGAAUGUAGAUUUUGAUUCUUGGGUCUAUCGUUUUAAGCGUCAUUUAAAUCAUGUGAACACUAACCUUUGGAGAAUCAUUGAAGAAGGUUUUUAUCCGCAUGACCGAAGUAACUUCACUCCUAGAGAAAUUGUGGAUCAUCAAUUCAAUGAGAAUGCUCUCUUCAUCAUCCAAGAAGCAAUCCCACCCGAAGAUCUUCCUCAUCUCCGGCCUUACACCAUGGCCAAAGAUGCUUGGCUCCAAGUUGUUUCCCUCUAUCGGGGAAGCGCAAGCAUUCAACGCUCCAACUAUGAAGUGGUGCAAGAUGAAGCCGAUGAGUUUGCAAUGAAAGAAGAUGAAGAACCUCGUGAGCUUUUUCGGAGAGUAACCAAACUCGCGGUCUCUCUCCGAGAUCAUGGAAGUAAGGACACGGAUGACAAUUGGAUCAAGCGCAAAUUCCUCAAGGCAAUGAUGCCCUACCACAAAGCCAUGUCCUCCAUAAUUCGUCAAAGGCCGGACUUCCACACCUUGUCAUCAAGUGAAGUGUUGGAUGAGUUUGUUGCUAUGAGCAUCUUGGACAAGACCGCCGACAAUGCGGUUCUUCGCUCUCAAAGAGUAAAGAAGCCCAACCUUGCUCUAAAGGCCAAGGUUAGUAUGGAGGAAGAGGAUGAAGAGGAAGAAGAGGAGGGCAACCUCGAAGAUACGAAGUAUGCCUAUCAUGAACACAUGGCUCUUGCUUCAAGGCAAUUUUGGAGCAAGAAGAACACAAGGCCAAACUUCAACAAGAGCAAUUCAAGUGGCGCAAAGGGUAAGCAACGAGUAAGGACUUGCUUCAAUUGUGGCAAUGUGAGCCACUUUGUUGCGGAGUGCCCUUACGAGAAGAGGGAAGACAAUGGUGGCAAGCUCAUUAGAAAGGACAAGGCCAAGUCGUUCCCCAACAAGAGCAACUUCACCAAGAAGACUCCUCCCAAGGCGUUGGUGGUACAAGAAGAGUACAAUGAGGAUGAUGACGAUGAUGAAGAUGGUGAGUCGGUUGCCAUGGCCUCCGUUGCCAUUGCGAAGACUCCACGGGUGUCUCUCUUCGACUCACCCAAUGAGAACAUCACCGCCAAGUGCCUCAUGGCUAAAGCCACCAAUAAGGUAACCUCCAACGUCAAAACUACCAUCAUUAAUCAUCCUUCUUCGACAGAUAGCAUUGAUGAACAUGAGGGGACAAAUGUGGAGGAAAAUGAGUUUGAGAUGUUUAUGGGUAAACUCAAGGGUAAAUCCAAGAAGCACUUCGUUGCUCUCUUGGAACAACUUGGUGAAGCCAAUGACAUGAUCGAGGCUCACGAAGGUACCAUCUCUAAGAUGGAGGGGCAUAGUCGUGACUAUGCCGAUGAGAUUUCGGAUCUUUCCAAUGCUCUUGACGAAGAGCGUGGUCUUCGUUUGGCUCUUGAGGAGUCAUACAACGAUGAUCAUGCUAAGUUAAAGAAAGAUCUUGAUCAUGCUCUUGUUGUGUCUCGUGUGCUAAACUCCGAGAAGGCAAAACUUGGGGUUGAUAUUGCUAGACUUAAAGAGGAGUUUGACAUUCUUGACAAGGCUCACAAAGUCUUGAAGGGCGUUCAUGCUAGCCUCAAGUAGUCUCAUGAUCAACUCCAAGUAAAGCUAACUAAGGAGAAAGCCACCUUUCCUCAUAUGGUGUUAAUUGAUAAUGCAAAUGCUACUAACCCUUGUUGUGAGCAUGUGCAUCUUGUUGAGGAGAAUGCUAAGUUGAAGGAGCAACUUGAGAAAGGCCUUGUGUCAUGCAUACAAGGUGAGAAGAACCUCAACGAUCUUUUGAGAAACCAAAAGGAAGUUGUAGCCAAGGAGGGGAUUGGGUUCGCACCCAAGCCCAAGAACAAGAAGAAGAAUGACAAGACCAAACGACCUCCUCCUCUCAAGCAAACUUUCGUGAAGGAGGGAGAGGGUGCUUCCAAGGAGAAGAAGAACAAUGCGAAGGGUGACGGUGUCAAGAAGGGCAAUACCACCCCAUCCAACAAAGCCGGCGACUUUAAUCCUUCUUAUGUGUUAUGCCGUGCAAGUGAUGGGCAUGUUUAUGCCAAAUUUGUUGGUUCUCCUAAUGAGUAUAUUGAAUGGUCCAUUUGGGUUCCUAAGACCCUUGUUACUAACAUCAAAGGACCCAUUACAAAAUGGGUACCUAAAACCAAGCAUUGAUCUCUUGUAGGUGUUUGCUUCUGGUGGGGGAUCAUGGUUGCUCGAUAGUGGAGCUACAAAUCAUAUGACCGGAAGCAAGGACUUGGUGGUGGACGUGCACAAGAUUCCAUCUAUACCCACCAAUGUCGAGUGGGGUGAUGCCUCGUCUUCUAAGGUAUUGGGACUCGGCAAAGUUGUCAUUUCUCAUGAUCUCACGAUCGAGAAGGUCAUGCUAAUUGAGUCCCUUGCAUACAAUUUACUUUCCGUUCGUCAACUUGCUACCAUGGGCUUUGCCACUUUCUUUGAUAUUGAUACCGUGGCCCUCUUGUGGAGCAAGACUCUUAAAGUAGCCUUUGUUGGGCAUGUCGAACGGUCUCUAUGUGAUUAACUUUUCAGAGCGACCCACUAAGACCGCGACAUGCCUAAUGGCUAAAGUUGACGUGGGAUGGCUUUGGCAUCGCCGUUUAGCCCAUGUCAAUAUGAGAUCUUUGCAAAGUCUUCUCAAGGGGGACCAUGUCCGUGGACUAACUAACGUUAGUUUUGCUAAAGAUCGUGCUUGCAGUGCUUGUAUCGAAGGAAGGCUUCAUGAGAAGGCUCACCCUCCCACGACUCUCAUUUACUCGAAGAGGCCUUUGGAGCUCCUUCAUUUGGAUCUCUUUGGGCCUCCAUCCUUUGAUAGUCUUGGGGGUAGAAAGUAUUGCUUGGUAAUUGUGGAUGACUAUUCAAGAUACACUUGGGUGUAUUUCUUCAAGAGGAAGAGUGAGACCCAACAAACCGUCAUUGACUUUGCAAAUGAAGCCCAACGUCAACACAAUGCAAAGAUCUUGACAAUAAGAAGUGACAACGGCACCGAGUUCAAAAACUACACCUUGGAUGAGUUUCUUAGUGAUGAGGGGAUCAAGCAUCAAUAUUCCGCACCUUACACCCCUCAACAAAAUGGUGUUGCGGAGAGGAAGAACCGAACGUUGAUGGAUGCGGCAAGUACCAUGAUGGCGGCGUUCAAGUCUCCAUACAACUUUUGGGCCGAAGUCAUCAACACCGCGUGUCAUGCUUCAAAUCGGCUCUAUCUCCGCAAAGGCUUGAACAAGACUCCAUAUGAGAUACUCACCGGUAACAAGCCCAACCUCAAGUACUUUCGGGUGUUCGGGUGUAAGUGUUUCAUUCUCAAGAAAGGUGUUCGUUUGUCUAAAUUUGAGUCUAGAGCUCAUGAGGGCGUAUUUGUUGGUUAUGCUACAAACUCCCAUGCUUACCGUGUUCUCAAUAAGUCCACGGGACUUAUUGAGGAGACGUGUAACGUGGAGUUUGAUGAGAAUAACGGCUCCCAAGUGGAGCAAAGUGGUACUUGUGAUGUAGGUGAUGAAAUUCCUCCCCAAGCCAUAAGAAGAAUGAGUGUUGGUUAUAUCCUACCCAUUGAGGAACCCCUUGUGGCCGAAGGAGAAGGACAAUGCUCCACUCAAGUGGAGCCAUCACCAACCCAAGACCCACACGCUUCCGAAGAACAAAGUGAAGGCUCUCAACCUCAUGAACAAGAUCAAGGGCAAGAUCAACCUCAAGAUGGUGGUGAUCCACCAAAUGAUGCCCAAGGUCAAGUUCACCCCCUCGAGCAAGUUCAAGAUCAAGGACAAGCUCAAGACGACGCUCAAGAUGAUCAAGUAACCCCUCCUCAUUUCACUUCCGAGGAGGAAUUGGAGCGUCGUGCCGCUAAGAUCGCUUCCAAGCUCACCACCAAAGGUCAUCUCAUGGAGAAUGUGGUUGGAAGCCUAAGAAAGGGGGUAAGCACUCGUAGACAAUUAGCAAACUAUUGUGAACAUCAUGCGUUUGUUUCUUGUGUCGAACCCCAAAAGGUUUAUGAAGCGCUCGAGGACCCGGAUUGGCUCAAUGCCAUGCAUGAAGAACUCAACAACUUCGAACAUAACCAAGUGUGGAAAUUAGUGCCAAGGCCAACCGGGAACCAUAAUGUCAUAGGAACCAAGUGGAUAUUCAAGAACAAGCAAGAUGCUCAUGGGAUCAUUGUUCGCAACAAGGCUCGUUUGGUGGCACAAGGCUACUCCCAAGUCGAGGGUAUCGACUACGGUGAAACCUUUGCCCCCGUCGCUCGCCUUGAAUCUAUUCGUUUGUUGAUUGCUUAUGCUUCUCAUCAUAAUUUCACGUUGCAACAAAUGGAUGUGAAGAGUGCUUUUCUUAAUGGUCCCAUAAAUGAGUUGGUGUAUGUCAAACAACCCCCCGGGUUCGAAGAUCCCUAUUUCCCCGAUCAUGUGUAUCAACUCCACAAGGCGCUCUAUGGCCUUAAACAAGCCCCACGUGCGUGGUAUGAGCAUCUUACGGAGUUGUUACAAGAUCGUGGAUUCGAAAUCGGGAAAAUCGACCCCACUCUUUUUACUAAGAAGGUCAAAGGGGAGUUGUUUGUGUGCCUACUAUAUGUUGAUGAUAUUAUUUUUGGUUCCCCUAACAAAGCCUUCAAUGAAGAAUUUGCCGCUCUCAUGACCUCAAAGUUCAAGAUGUCUAUGAUGGGAGAGUUGAAGUUCUUUCUCGGAUUCGAAAUCAAACAAAGAAGAGAAGGAACCUUCAUCAACCAAGCCAAAUACACUCAAGACAUGCUAAAGAGAUUCAAGCUAAGUGAUGUCAAGCCGGCUUCCACUCCAAUGCCCACCAAGUGCCAACUUGACAUUGAUCCCAAUGGUAAAGCGGUGGAUCAAAUGGUAUAUCGCUCCAUGAUUGGAUCCUUGCUUUACCUUUGUGCAUCUAGACCGGAUAUCAUGUUGAGUGUGGGAAUUUGUGCACGGUUUCAAGCCGCACCUAAGGAAAGCCACUUUGUGGCGGUCAAGCGAAUCUUUCGAUAUUUGGCUCAUACCCCAAACUUUGGCUUAUGGUACCCAAGAGGAGCAAACUUCAAGCUUGUAGGUUAUUCGGACUCCGAUUGGGCGGGAGACAAAGUGGAUAGGAAGUCCACUUCCGGAGAGUGCCAAUUUCUUGGUUGCUCUUUGGUAAGUUGGUCUUCUAAAAAGCAAAGUUGUGCGUCUCUCUCGUCCACCGAAGCGGAGUAUGUGGCGGCCGGGAGUUGCUGUGCACAACUCUUAUGGAUGAGGCAAACUUUAAAGGAUUACGGUGUCAUUUGUGACAAAGUGCCUCUUUGGUGUGACAAUGAAAGUGCCAUCAAGAUUUCUCUCAACCCGGUGCAACACUUCAAGACGAAGCAUAUUGAGAUUCGGUAUCACUUCAUCCGGGAUCAUAUUAGGCGAGGGGAGAUCGAGCUCAGCUAUGUCACCACUCAUGAUAACCUUGCAGAUAUUUUCACGAAGUCGUUGGAUGAAGCAAGAUUUCGCGAGUUAAGGCAUGAGCUAAAUAUCAUUGAUUCGAGCAAUGUGGUUUGAACCUUUGCACACCCCUCACAUUCAUCAUGCAUUCUUGUCUAGGUGUAGGCAUGGACUUAGGGGGAGUGUUGUUCUCUCAAUGAACUCUUCCUCCCCCCAUAAUGCAUAAACUAAUCUCACUCUUUCACAUUAGCCAUUUUUAUGGUACUUGUGCUUCAAAGACGAGUUUUGGUCAUGGGCCCAAGGAUAAUUCUUCGCGGUGCCAUACCAAUUGACUCAAACAUAGGUGGCCUCGGCCACCGCCCUCUCGUGUAGAGGUGUGUGGUUCUUGUUCUCGUGCUGGUGCUCUUGUUGCUUUGUGUUGGUUUUCUCCUCUUGCCGUCGUUUCCCUUCUUUUCUUUUUGUGCCAUAGGUGUUGAGUCUUGUUUUGAGUUGCGCUGGGCGGUACUACCGUUGUGAAGGCGCAGUACUACCGCUGAGCGGUACUACCGCCCAUCACCACGGUACUACCGCUGAGGGGCGGGGCCAGGGGGUUAAGUCGUGGGCAGGGGUGGUUUCCUCCCCCAUACCCAUUUGCUUCGUCCCCUCGUUCCUCUUCCUCUCUCUCCAGCGCCAUCUCGCCGCGGGAGGGCUCCGGCGGCCCUCCGUCUCCGGACCGUUCCUCUCCAUUUCCUUCGGUGGAGUCGAUCCCCACCUCGUCCUCUUGCCAUGGAUGCCGGUAUUGCCCCCGUUCCUCUUCUCUUCUUGUCUAGUUUUCAGAUCUCGCGUUUUAGGGGCAAUAGUGGUUGCAUCUCUAGAUUUUUGGCCAAAUCUAGGCUUGAGUAGGUUGGAGAAGGCAACUAGACUCUUUGGAUUGAUGUUUGGUAGGUUUAUUUUUGAAUUUGGCAUCCCCGGUAGUGCCGGAUCUGACCACGGCAGUAGGAAUCCUCUGUGCCCCGUCUCGGGCGGUACUACCGCCCAUCUGGCGCGGUACUACCGCUGGAGCAUGUUAGAAAUAUGCCCUAGAGGCAAUAAUAAAUUGGUUAUUAUUAUAUUUCCUUGUUCAUGAUAAUCGUUUAUUAUCCAUGCUAAAAUUGUAUUGAUAGGAAACUCAGAUACAUGUGUGGAUACAUAGACAACACCAUGUCCCUAGUAAGCCUCUAGUUGACUAGCUCGUUGAUCAAUAGAUGGUUACAGUUUCCUGACCAUGGACAUUAGAUGUCGUUGAUAACGGGAUCACAUCAUUAGGAGAAUGAUGUGAUGGACAAGACCCAAUCCUAAGCCUAGCACAAGAUCGUGUAGUUCGUCUGCUAAAGCUUUUCUAAUGUCAAGUAUCAUUUCCUUAGACCAUGAGAUUGUGCAACUCCCGGAUACCGUAGGAAUGCUUUGGGUGUACCAAACGUCACAACGUAACUGGGUGGCUAUAAAGGUGCACUACAGGUAUCUCCGAAAGUGUCUGUUGGGUUGGCACGAAUCGAGACUGGGAUUUGUCACUCCGUGUAAACGGAGAGGUAUCUCUGGGCCCACUCGGUAGGGCAUCAUCAUAAUGUGCACAAUGUGACCAAGGAGUUGAUCACGGGAUGAUGUGAGUUACGGAACGAGUAAAGAGACUUGCCGGUAACGAGAUUGAACAAGGUAUCGGGAUACCGACGAUCGAAUCUCGGGCAAGUAACAUACCGAUAGACAAAGGGAAUUGUAUACGGGAUUGAUUGAAUCCCUGACAUCGUGGUUCAUCCGAUGAGAUCAUCGUGGAACAUGUGGGAGCCAACAUGGGUAUCCAGAUCCCGCUGUUGGUUAUUGGCCGGAGAACGUCUCGGUCAUGUCUGCAUGGUUCCCGAACCCGUAGGGUCUACACACUUAAGGUUCGAUGACGCUAGGGUUAUAGGGAAUAGAUAUACGUGGUUACCGAAUGUUGUUCGGAGUUCCGGAUGAGAUCCCGGACAUCACGAGGAGUUCCGGAAUGGUCCGGAGGUAAAGAUUUAUAUAUGGGAAGUCCUGUUUUGGUCACCGGAAAAGUUUCGGGUGCUAUCGGUAAUGUACCGGGACCACCGGGAGGGUCCCGGGGGUCCACCAAGUGGGGCCACCAGCCCCAGAAGGCUGCGUGGGCCAAGUGUGGGAGGGUACCAGCUCCAGGUGGGCUGGUGCGCCCCCCCACCAAGGCCCAAGGCGCAGGGAGAGUGGGAGGGGGCAAACCCUAGGUCGAUGGGCCUUAAGGCCCACCCUAGUGGCGCCCCCCUCUCUCCUCCCCUUGGCCGCACCCUAGAUGGGUUUGGGGGCUGCCGCCACCCCUGGGGAGGGAACCCUAGAUGGGGGCACAGCCCCUCCCCUUCCCCUAUAUAUACUUGAGGUAUUUGGGGCUGCCAUACACACGAGAACACCUCUCUCUUGGCGCAGCCCUAUCCCUCUCCCUCCUCCUCUCCCGCGGUGCUUGGCGAAGCCCUGCGGGAUUGCCACGCUCCUCCAUCACCACCACGCCGUCGUGCUGCUGCUGGACGGAGUCUUCCCCAACCUCUCCCUCUCUCCUUGCUGGAUCAAGGCGUGGGAGACGUCACCGGGCUGCACGUGUGUUGAACGCGGAGGCACCGUUCUUCGGUGCUUAGAUCGGAAUCAACCGCGAUCUGAAUCGCUACGAGUACGACUCCUUCAUCCGCGUUCUUGCAACGCUUCCGCAUCGCGAUCUACGAUGGUAUGUAGAUGCACUCCCCUUCCCCUCGUUGCUAGAUUACUCCAUAGAUUGAUCUUGGUGAUGCGUAGAAAAUUUUGAAUUUCUGCUACGUUCCCCAACAGUGGCACCAUGAGCUAGGUCUAUGCGUAGUUUCUAUGCACGAGUAGAACACAAAGCAGUUGUGGGCGUAGAUGUUGCCAAUUCUUCUUGCCGCUACUAGUAUUAUCUUGUUUCGGCGGUAUUGUGGGAUGAAGCGGCCCGGACCGACCUUACACGUACGCUUACGUGAGACAGGUUCCACCGACUGGCAUGCACUAGUUGCAUAAGGUGGUUAGCGGGUGUCUGUCUCUCCCACUUUAGUCGGAACGGAUUCGAUGAAAAGGGUCCUUAUGAAGGGUAAAUAGAAAUUGGCAUAUCACGUUGUGGUUUUACGUAGGUAAGAAACGUUCUUGCUAGAAACCUAUACAAGCCACGUAAAAAACUUGCAACAACAAUUAGAGGACGUCUAACUUGUUUUUGCAGCAUGUGUUAUGUGAUGUGAUAUGGCCAGAAGAUGUGAUGAAUGAUAUAUGUGAUGUAUGAGAUUGAUCAUAUUCUUGUAAUAGGAAUCACGACUUGCAUGUCGAUGAGUAUGACAACCGGCAGGAGCCAUAGGAGUUGUCUUUAUUUUUGUAUGACCUGCGUGUCAUUGAAUAACGCCAUGUAAAUUACUUUACUUUAUUGCUAAACGCGUUAGCCAUAGAAGUAGAAGUAAUCGUUGGCGUGACAACUUCAUGAAGACACAAUGAUGGAGAUCAUGAUGAUGGAGAUCAUGGUGUCAUGCCGGUGACGAAGAUGAUCAUGGUGCCCCGAAGAUGGAGAUCAAAGGAGCAAAAUGAUAUUGGCCAUAUCAUGUCACUAUUUGAUUGCAUGUGAUGUUUAUCAUGUUUUGCAUCUUAUUUGCUUAGAACGACGGUAGUAAGUAAGAUGAUCCCUUAUAAUAAUUUCAAGAAAGUGUUCCCCCUAACUGUGCACCGUUGCGAAGGUUCGUUGUUUCGAAGCACCACGUGAUGAUCGGGUGUGAUAGAUUCUAACGUUCGCAUACAACGGGUGUUGAUGAGCCUAGCAUGUACAGACAUGGCCUCGGAACACACGCAAUACACUUAGGUUGACUUGACGAGCCUAGCAUGUACAGACAUGGCCUCGGAACACGAAAGACCGAAAGGUCGAGCAUGAGUCGUAUAGAAGAUACGAUCAACAUGGAGAUGUUCACCGAUGAUGACUAGUCCGUCUCACGUGAUGAUCGGACACGGCCUAGUUUGACUCGGAUCAUGUAUCACUUAGAUGACUAGAGGGAUGUCUAUCUGAGUGGGAGUUCAAUAAUCAGAUGAACUUCAUUAUCAUGAACAUAGUCAAAAGGUCUUUGCAAAUUAUGUCAUAGCUUACGCUUUAGUUCUACUGUUUAAGAUAUGUUCCUAGAGAAAAUUUAGUUGAAAGUUGAUAGUAGCAAUUAUGCGGACUGGGUCCGUGAACUGAGGAUUGUCCUCAUUGCUGCACAGAAGGCUUAUGUCCUUAAUGCACCGCUCGGUGUGCUGAACCUCAGCGUCGUCUGUAGAUGUUACGAAACAUCUGACAUACACGUUUUGAUGACUACGUGAUAGUUCAGUGUGUGAUGCUAAUGGUUUAAAAUUGUGGCGACAAGACGUUUUUGAAACGUCGCAGAACAUAUGAGAUGUUCCGAAGACUGAAAUUGAGAUUUCAGACUAGUGCCCACGUCAAGAGGUAUGAGACCUCUGACAAGUUUCUUAAGCCUGCAGACUAAGGGAGAAAAGCUCAAUCAUUGAGCAUGUGCUCAGAUUGUCUGAGUGCCACAAUCGCUUGAAUCGAGUGGAAGUUAAUCUUCCAGAUGAGAUAGUGAUGGUUCUCCAAAGUCACUGCCACCAAGCUACUGGAGCUUCGUGAUGAACUAUAACAUAUCAGGGAUAGAUAUGAUGAUCCUUGAGCAACGCGCGAUGUUUGACACCGUGAAAGUAGAAAUCAAGAAGGAGCAUCAAUUGUUGAUGGUUAGUAAAACCACUAGUUUCUAGAAGGGCAAGGGCAAAAGGGAUACUUCAUGAAACAACAAAUCAGUUGCUGCUCUAGUGAAGAAUCCCAAGGUUGGACCCAAACCCGAGACUAAGUGCUUCUGUAAUGAGGGGAACGGUCACUGAAGCAGUACUACCCUAGAUAUUUGGUAGAUGAGAAGGCAGGUAAGGUCGACAGAAGUAUAUUGGAUAUACAUUAUAUGAAUGUGUACUUUACUAGUACUCCUAGUAGCACCAGGGUAUUAGAUACCGGUUCGGUUGCUAAGUGUUAGUAACACGAAAUAAAAGCUGCGGAAUAAACGGAGACUAGCUAAAGAUGAGAUGACGAUAUGUGUUGGAAGUGUUUCCAAGGUUGAUGUGAUCAAGCAUCGCAUGCUCCCUCUACCAUCGAGUUUGGUGUUUGCGUUCAGUAUAAACAUGAUUGGAUUAUGUUUAUCGCAAUACGGUUAUUCAUUUAAGGAGAAUAAUGGUUACUCUUUUUAUUUGAAUAAUACCUUCAAUGGUCUUGCACCUAAAAUAAAUGGUUUAUUGAAUCUCGAUCGUAGUGAUACACAUGUUCAUGCCAAAAGUAAUGAUAGUACCACAUACUUGUGGCACUGCUAUUUGAGUCAUAUUGGGAUAAAACGCAUGAAGAAGCUCCAUGUAGAUGGAUCUUUGGACUCACUCGUUUUUGAAAGGAUUGAGACAUGCGAACCAUGUCUAUUGGUAUAUAUAUGCAUGAAGAAACUCCAUGCAGAUGGAUCGUUUGGACUCACUUGAUUUUGAAUCACUUGAGACAUGCAAAUCAUACCACAUGGGCAAGAUGACUGAAAGGCCUCGUUUUCAGUAAGAUGGAACAAGAGAGCAACUUGUUGAAAGUAAUACAUUUGAUGUGUGCAGUCCAAUGAAGUGUUGAGGCAUGCAGUGGAUAUCGAUAUGUUCUUACUUCACAGAUGAUUUGAGUAGAUGCUGAGAAUAUUUACUUGAUGAAACACAAGUCUGAAUUAUUGAAAGGUUCAAGUAAUUUCAGAGUGAAGUUGAAGAUCGUCGUGACAAGAGGAUAAAAUGUCUAUGAUAUGAUCAUAGAGAUAUCUGAGUUACGAGUUUGGCACACAAUUAAGAUGUUGUGGAAAGUUUUUCACAAUUGAUACCGCCUGGAACACCACAGUGUGAUGGUGUGUCCGAACAUCAUAACUGCACCCUAUUGGAUAUGGUGCAUACCAUGAUGUCUCUUAUCGAAUUACAACUAUCGUUUAUGGGUUAGGCAUUAUAGACAACCGCAUUCACUUUAAAUAGGGCACCACGCAAUUCCGUUGAGACGACACCGUUUAGAGAAACCUAAGUUGUCGUUUCUUAAAAGUUUGGGGCUGCGAUGCUUAUGUGAAAAAGUUUUAGGCUGAUAAGCUCGAACCCAAAGCGGAUAAAUGCAUCUUCAUAGAAUACCCAAAACAGUUGGGUAUACCUCCUAUUUCAGAUCCGGAAGCAAAGUGAUUGUUUCUAGAAACGAGUCCUUUCUCGAGGAAAAGUUUCUCUCGAAAGAAUUGAGUGGGAGGAUGAUGGAGACUUGAUAAGGUUAUUGAACCGUCACUUCAACUAGUGUGUAGCAGGGCACAGGAAGUUGUUCCUGUGGCACCUACACCAAUUGAAGUGGAAGCUCAUGAUAGUGAUCAUGAAACUUCGGAUCAAGUCACUACCAAACCUCGUAGGACGACGAGGAUGCGUACUACUUCAGAAUAGUACGUGAUCCUGUCUUGGAAGUCAUGUUGCUAGACAACAAUGAACCUACGAGCUAUGGGGAAGCGAUGGUGGGCCCGGAUUCCGACGAAUGGCUCGAGGCCAUAAAAUCCGAGAGAGGAUCCAUGUACUUGAUGGUCGUAAGGCUGUUGGGUGCAGAUGGAUUUUAAAAGGAAGACAGACAAUAAUGGUAAGUGUCACCAUUAAGAAAGCUCGGCUUGUCGUUAAGAUGUUUUCCGACAAGUUCAAGGAGUUGACUACGAUGAGACUUUCUCACUCGUAGCGAUGCUAAGAGUCUGUUGGAAUUGUAUUAGCAGUCUUGCAGAUAGGAUGUCAAAACAUUGUUUCCUCGAAGAUUUUCUUGAGGAAAGGUUGUAUGUGAUACAACCAGAAGGUUUUUGUCAAUCCUGAAAGAUGCUAACAAGUGUGCAAAGCUCCAGCAAUCCUUCUAAGGACUGGAGUAAGCAUCUCGGAGUUGGAAUGUACGCUUUGAUGAGAUGAUCAAAGAUUUUGGGUUUAUAUACAAAGUUUAUGAGAAACUUGUAUUUCCAAAGAAGUGAGUGGGAGCAAUACAACAUUUCUGAUAAGUAUAUGUGAAUGACAUAUUGUUGAUCCGAAAUGAUGUAAAAAAAUUCUGGAAAGCAUAAAGGGUUGUUUGAAAGGAGUUUUUCAAAGGAAGACCUGGAUAAAGCUGCUUACAUAUUGGGCAUCAAGAUCCAUGGAGAUAGAUCAAGACGCCCGAUGAUACUUUCAAAGAACGCACACCUUGACAUGAUUUUGAAAGAGUUCAAAAUAGAUCAGCAAAGAAGGAGUUCUUGGCUGUGUUACAAGGUGUGAGUAUUGAGUAAGACUCAAGACCUGACCACAGCAGAAGAGAGAGAAAGAACGAAGGUCGUCCCCUAUGCUUUAGACGUAGGCUCUAUAGUAUGCUAUGCUGUGUACCGCACAUGAAGUGUGCCUUGCCAUGAGUUGGUCAAGGGGUACAAUAGUGAUCCGGGAAUGGAUCACAUGACAGCGGUCGAACUUAUCCUUAGUAUCUAGUGGACUAAGGAAUUUUCUCGAUUAUGGAGGUGAAAAGGAGUUCGUCGUCAAGGGUUACGUCGAUGCGAACUUUGACACUAAUCCGGAUGACUCUGAGUAGUAAACCGGAUUCGUAUAGUAGAGCAGUUAUUUGAAAUGGCUCCAAAUAGCGCGUGGUAGCAUCCACAAGAUGACAUAGAUAUUCGUAAAGCACACGGAUCUGAAAGGUUCAGACCCGUUGACUAAUAACCUCUCUCACAAGCAUAACAUGAUCAAACCAGAACUCAUUGAGUGUUAAUCACAUAGUGAUGUGAACUAGAUUGUUGACUCUAGUGAACUCUUUGGAUGUUGGUCACAUGGUGAUGUGACCUGUGAGUGUUAAUCACAUGGCGAUGUGAACUAGAUUAUUGACUCUAGUGCAAGUGGGAGACUGUUAGAAAUAUGCCCUAGCGGCAAUAAUAAAUUGGUUAUUAUUAUAUUUCCUUGUUCAUGAUAAUCGUUUAUUAUCCAUGCUAAAAUUGUAUUGAUAGGAAACUCAGAUACAUGUGUGGAUACAUAGACAACACCAUGUCCCUAGUAAGCCUCUAGUUGACUAGCUCGUUGAUCAAUAGAUGGUUACGGUUUCCUGACCAUGGACAUUAGAUGUCGUUGAUAACGGGAUCACAUCAUUAGGAGAAUGAUGUGAUGGACAAGACCCAAUCCUAAGCCUAGCACAAGAUCGUGUAGUUCGUCUGCUAAAGCUUUUCUAAUGUCAAGUAUCAUUUCCUUAGACCAUGAGAUUGUGCAACUCCCGGAUACCGUAGGAAUGCUUUGGGUGUACCAAAUGUCACAACGUAACUGGGUGGCUAUAAAGGUGCACUACAGGUAUCUCCGAAAGUGUCUGUUGGGUUGGCACGAAUCGAGACUGGGAUUUGUCACUCCGUGUAAACGGAGAGGUAUCUCUGGGCCGACUCGGUAGGACAUCAUCAUAAUGUGCACAAUGUGACCAAGGAGUUGAUCACGGGAUGAUGUGAGUUACGGAAUGAGUAAAGAGACUUGCCGGUAACGAGAUUGAACAAGGUAUCGGGAUACCGACGAUCGAAUCUCGGGCAAGUAACAUACCGAUAGACAAAGGGAAUUGUAUACGGGAUUGAUUGAAUCCCCGACAUCGUGGUUCAUCCGAUGAGAUCAUCGUGGAACAUGUGGGAGCCAACAUGGGUAUCCAGAUCCCGCUGUUGGUUAUUGGCCGGAGAACGUCUCGGUCAUGUCUGCAUGGUUCCCGAACCCGUAGGGUCUACACACUUAAGGUUCGAUGACGCUAGGGUUAUAGGGAAUAGAUAUACGUGGUUACCGAAUGUUGUUUGGAGUCCCGGAUGAGAUCCCGGACGUUACGAGGAGUUCCGGAAUGGUCCGGAGGUAAAGAUUUAUAUAUGGGAAGUCCUGUUUUGGUCACCGGAAAAGUUUCGGGUGCUAUCGGUAAUGUACCGGGACCACCGGGAGGGUCCCGGGGGUCCACCAAGUGGGGCCACCAGCCCCAGAAGGCUGCGUGGGCCAAGUGUGGGAGGGGACCAGCUCCAGGUGGGCUGGUGCGCCCCCCACCCAGGCCCAAGGCGCAGGGAGAGUGGGGGGGGCAAACCCUAGGUCCAGAUGGGCCUUAAGGCCCACCCUAUUGGCGCCCCCCUCUCUCCUCCCCUUGGCCGCACCCUAGAUGGGUUUGGGGGCUGCCGCCACCCCUGGGGAGGGAACCCUAGAUGGGGGCACAGCCCCUCCCCUUCCCCUAUAUAUACUUGAGGUAUUUGGGGCUGCCAUACACACGAGAACACCUCUCUCUUGGCGCAGCCCUAUCCCUCUCCCUCCUCCUCUCCCGCGGUGCUUGGCGAAGCCCUGCGGGAUUGCCACGCUCCUCCAUCACCACCACGCCGUCGUGCUGCUGCUGGACGGAGUCUUCCCCAACCUCUCCCUCUCUCCUUGCUGGAUCAAGGCGUGGGAGACGUCACCGGGCUGCACGUGUGUUGAACGCGGAGGCACCGUUCUUCGGUGCUUAGAUCGGAAUCAACCGCGAUCUAAAUCGCUAUGAGUACGACUCCUUCAUCCGCGUUCUUGCAACGCUUCCGCAUCGCGAUCUACAAUGGUAUGUAGAUGCACUCCCCUUCCCCUCGUUGCUAGAUUACUCCAUAGAUUGAUCUUGGUGAUGCGUAGAAAAUUUUGAAUUUCUGCUACGUUCCCCAACAGAGCGGUACUGCCGCUGUGGAGGCGCGGUACUACCGCUGGUGCGGUACUGCCGCUGUGCAGGCACGGUACUACCGCCGGAUGUCCAGUUCCAUCGUUUCUUACCACAUGUUGAUCCAUAUUUGUUGUGUUUAUUUGGUUUUGAUCGUUCCUUCUGGUUGUUUCGUGUGUCCGUGUGUUUGGUUCCAGGUGAUGAACAUCCUGAGCAGCAAGUCCGCCGUGUCAACCCCGGGCGUUCAACGUCAAAGCGGUACCGCACAUUUGAGGCUGCAGGUGGUUCUUCCAGUGCUCCAUCGCCGCCAGUGGGUGCUUCCUCAAGUGCCAAUCCUCCUCUCAAGAAGAAGACUGCCAACAGGCCGAAGCCAAGUGGCAAGAAGGUGACUGAGAUGACUAGCAAGGAAUUCUGGGACAGGCGUCGCCGCAACCCAUAUGAGGAAGACCAAGAACCCGACCUUGUCAAUUGCCCGUUCUGGAACCGGUUUCAGUAUGCCACCUACUUUGACGUGAUCAAGGCUAAGAAGAACCUCUUUGUCAAUGUUCAUUCCAUCAACACGGAUGCUAUGGAGAAGGACCCUGAGUACUUUGGUGAUGCCCUUCAGAUGUGCUCUCAGUUGAACAUUCUCAGGAUCAUGCAGUUCAACAAGGACUUUGAUGCAGAUUUGCUGGCUCAGUUCUUUGCCACUGUCCACCUAGGAACUGAUGAAGACAGGACUCUGACUUGGAUGACUAAUGGGAAGGUGCUAGCUGUCAAGUGGAAGGCCUUCAUGGGGUUGCUAAAGGUGGAAGAUCAAGGGCUCGAGACUUCAGUCGGAUUUCGUCCUCACCACAAUGUUACCUCCACUCACAAGCAAGCUCUCUGGCCCUACUGUACUCGGAAGGUCAACCCUGAGACCAGGAAGGAAACCUAUGAGUUGUCUACCUAUCUGGACAUCCUUCACCGUAUCUUCCGCGAGACUCUCUUCCCUCGUAUCGAGAAUCUGGACAUGGUACACUCUUAUCUCGUGGACAUGCUUCUCUUCUGCCAGCGUGAGAAGGACGCAAACACUGGCGAGUCCCUGGACAUCUCUCAUGUUAUGUGGUCUGAACUUCUUGCUGCUAUUUCUGAGCGCAAGUGCCCGAUUUAUGGUCCGUUCAUUAUGUUGCUCAUUGAGAAGGCCUGGAGACGUACCUAUCCUGAGGAGCACAUGGAAACUGGAGAGUUGGUUUCUCAUGAGAUCAAGCGUCUGAGGAAGAAGGAUAAUUGGGGCAUUCCUAGAUCUGGAGUUCCAUCUUCUGCUGCUGCCAUGGAGACUGAGGGCGAGACUGAUGCCGAUGAUGACGAUGAGGAUUAUGUGCCUUCUGGGACAGAGCCUUCUGCGGCAGAGCCCUCUUGGGCAAAGAAGCUCAAACACAAGAUGAAGAAGCCGUUCUGCAUGGAGUCUCACGAUCAGUACAUGACUCAUGUGGCUGAGAAGAAGGCAAGGGGGCGUCACAAGGAGCUUAUGCGUCAGUUGGGUGCGACAGUCACCAGCGGCUCUGAGGGUCAGAUCACUGAGGAGGAGUGGAUCCAGCAGCACUGUCCGUGGACCGAUUCAGAUGCCGAGCAGUUUCCGGCCGAGGACGGCGAUGCAGAUGAUCACGCAGAGUCCUGAUGUUCGAGAUCCUCAGCAUGCUCUCACCUGGAGCCGUAGGUUAGCUCUUUGCCCCUUUUGGUGUCUCGAUGCCAAAGGGGGAGAGAGUUUAGGGAUUUGCGUCGUUGUGUUGCGAGUGUGUCUUUGUCUUUGUGCUUUCGUUGUUGUGUUUGCUACCUUGCUUUGUUUGGUUUUGUGUUCAAUAAGACCUUAGUUCCAGUCAUAUGGUGUGAGACAUAUGCUACCUUAUAUGCUACCUUAUCCUUAUCAUAUCUUUAUCUAUGUCUCUAGUCAUUUGGUAUCUCAUGAGUUGCAUGCUUAUUAUGUUAUAUAUCCUGCUCUCUUGAAUCUCGCUUAGGUUGUUGGUCUCUAAAAUACAGGGGGGGUGUUGAUCCUAGUAUGUGUGUCGUGCAGUCCAAAGCACUUAUCUUGAUGGCACACAUCUAGGGGGAGCCCGUCUAUAUUUUAGAGAUUUGGGGUUUGCUUAUGUCCUUUGUCUUUUCCCGUUUGUGCAAAUCCCGUAUUGUCAUCAAUCCACCAAAAAGGGGGAGAUUGUAAGGGCAUAUUUAUCCCUAAGAUGUUUUGGUGAUUGAUGACAAUGCUUUUGCGGACUAAUCGUGUGCAUUGAGUGUUUUCAGAGAUUCAUCCUUUUGGCACGAGACGAUUCCCUCCCCUCGGAGCUUGAAGCGAAGACGGUGUAGUCCUUUCGAAUUAGUUUGGUGGACUAGUUUCAUAGGGAUCACCGUACUAUCAAGAGGGCGUCCGCUUUGGAAAGGCUAGGGCGGAAUCAUCACGUACACUUCCUUUGCCCCCCUCCGAGCCUUUCCGCUUCUAUGAUGGGCUCGUUCCCCUUCUGAGUGUGCCCUCUCUGGUCCCAGCGGUAGUACCGCGGGCCGGAGCGGUAGUACCGCUUAUGGCUACAAGCGGUAGUACCGCUCUAGAGCCGUAGUACCACUGGUAGCCCCCAGCCGUAGUACCGCUACGGUCUCGUGCUAGUACCGCCUCGAUUCGAGGGGUCUUUUUUCGUGUCGGGUUUUACGGUACUAGCCGCGGCAGUGGGGGCCGUAGUACCGCUCAUAUGCGGUAGUACCGCCCUGACCACCGCGGUAGUACCGCCCGGGGGAGCGGUAGUACCGCUGUGAUCAGCGGUAGUACCGCUGCCUCCUGCGGUAGUACCACUCUCUGCGGGGCUGGUGUGGGGGGUAACAGUUGGAUUGUUCCCCCCACUAUAUAAGGAGGUCUUCUUCCCCAAAGUUGACCUACCUCUUCCCCCAAAAGCUCCAUUGUUGCUCCAAGCUCCAUUUUCGCCCGAUCUCUCUCCCUAGCCAAUCAAACUUGUUGAUUUGCUCGGGAUUGGUUGAGAAGGCCCCGAUCUACACUUCCACCAAGAGAAAUUUGAUUCCCCCACUUAUCCCUAGCGGAUCUUGUUACUCUUGGGUGUUUGAGCACCCUAGACGGUUGAGGUCACCGCGGAGCCAUAGUCCAUUGUGGUGAAGCUUUGUGGUGUUGUUGGGAGCCUCCAAUUAAGUUGUGGAGAUUGCCCCAACCUUGUUUGUAAAGGUCCGGUCGCCGCCUUCAAGGGCACCAAUAGUGGAAUCACGGCAUCUCGCAUUGUGUGAGGGCGUGAGGAGAAUACGGUGGCCCUAGUGGCUUCUUGGGGAGCAUUGUGCCUCCACACCGCUCCAACGGAGACGUACUUCCCCUCAAAAGGAAGGAACUUCGGUAACACAUCCUUGUCUUCACCGGCUCCACUCUUGGUUAUCUCAUCCCUUUACUUUCGCAAGUUUACUCGUGUUAUAUCUCUUAUUUGCUUGCAUGCUUGUUGUCAUUGCAUCAUAUAGGUUGCUCACCUAGUUGCAUAUCUAGACAACCUAUUUUGAUGCAAAAGUUUAAUUUGGUAAAGAAAAGCUAAAAAUUGUUAGUUGCCUAUUCACCCCCCCNNNNNNNNNNNNNNNNNNNNNNNNNNNNNNNNNNNNNNNNNNNNNNNNNNNNNNNNNNNNNNNNNNNNNNNNNNNNNNNNNNNNNNNNNNNNNNNNNNNNNNNNNNNNNNNNNNNNNNNNNNNNNNNNNNNNNNNNNNNNNNNNNNNNNNNNNNNNNNNNNNNNNNNNNNNNNNNNNNNNNNNNNNNNNNNNNNNNNNNNNNNNNNNNNNNNNNNNNNNNNNNNNNNNNNNNNNNNNNNNNNNNNNNNNNNNNNNNNNNNNNNNNNNNNNNNNNNNNNNNNNNNNNNNNNNNNNNNNNNNNNNNNNNNNNNNNNNNNNNNNNNNNNNNNNNNNNNNNNNNNNNNNNNNNNNNNNNNNNNNNNNNNNNNNNNNNNNNNNNNNNNNNNNNNNNNNNNNNNNNNNNNNCGAACUGGAGCGAACCAGAGAUUUUGUGGGCUGCGUUUGCUACUUUGCUUUGGGCUGACAUGUAUAUAAUUUUUUUCCCUUCCAAAUCUUGGGUAUUCCCGUGCAUACACAGGCAUACACCUGCUGUCGCCACUGCACCCAUGUCGUGCAUGCCACCCAUACCAACCAUGGCUCUUUUUUGGACCAAGACUUCUUCACGGCAAGAUUGACGUACUCCUUUUGCUUCUCAUCGAGGGUAGAUGUGUCCAUGAAGAACAAGUACUUCUCCCAUUCCAACAACCUAGUUCGCUCCUCCAUGGCCAAUUUCUUCUCCUCCAAUGCCACCUUCCUCCUCUCGGCCGCCACCCUCCUCUCCUCGGCCGCGGCAUCUUGGUUCCUUGCCAUCUUCCUCACCUCGUUCGCUUCUUUUCUUGCGUUCACAAUAGCUUCCAUAGCAUUUUUUAGCUCGUCAUCUCCUUUCCUCUUCUUCUUUUCUUUUCCGUCUUUCUUGCAUCCAUCUGGUCUUUUUGGCUUGGAGUACGAAACCGAGUUGGCGUAGGGAUUCUCUUGCCGUCAUCACUUGAUGCCUCCUCAUCAUCAUCAUCCAAAUCAAUAGUUCGCUUGCGUUUGUUGCUCUCCUCAUCGACACCAUCAUGGGGCUUCCAUUUCUCAUCAUCCUUCAAUUAUUCAUAGCAAUGAGGCAAGGUAAAUGGUCUCCCUUUCUUGGUCUUCUUCUCCUCUCCUUGGAACAAGUUUUGUGCAAUAGUGAGCUACAAACAAAAGAACAAGUUAGCACUUGAAACACCAAGAAGAAGCAUGAUGAACAUGAAAGAAUCAUGAAAGAAAUGACACUUACCCUAUCUCUAUCAUUAGUGCCACUUGGGCUCAACGAGUCAACCGCCUUAAGUGCGGCCGCCCACCUUUGACAAUCUUGGUUGAUUGUCGACCACCGGGAGCGAAGAGAUCUUCCGGAGCGGUCAAUUCCACUAUUGUUGUGUAGAUCAAAGUGCUCCUUCAUCCGGAGCCAAUAUGCAUCUCUACUUUGAUCCCCUCCAACGGAGGGAUCUCUCGACACUUGCAACCAAGUAAUAGCAAGAUGUCUUCGUCCAUGGUGUAGUUGCCCCCUCUUCCUUUCGGUGCAUCAACGAUGCCCUCACCAUCCUCGUCCACCUCAACUCAUGAUCAUCGAAAUGCAUCUCAUUGGUUUGAGACCAAUGAGAAUUGUUGGAGCCAACACCCAUAGUUGACAUAUAUGCCUCAUCAUUGAAACUACAAAGUAUAUACAAUAAAGCAAAUAAGCUAUCCAUAUGUAUGCAUUCAAAAAACAACAACAACAAAAGUUGGCGAAAUUUUACCUUGUGGGCAUUUCAUCGAACACCUUGUGCGUGUCGGCCGCCGGCUCAACAAGUGAGCUCGCCGGCACUUCAGUCGCCGCCGCGUCCGUCGCACGCCCUUCAAGCUUCUUCUUCGGCCGCCUAGAGGAGCCGUCCGCCGCUUGUUCUUCUUCGCGGACACCUUGCCCUUCUUCGCCUGCGUCGCAUUUGGGAGCUUCGAGAGGGGGGCACGUGGCUUCAUGGCGGGCGCCGACGCGACGCCACCCGCCGCUGAGGUCGUCCGUGGCGGCAUGAAAAGCCCGUGUGCGAUGCCGGUGCUUGGAGGAGCACCGACGGAGGCAAAGACAAAGCUCCCCGCGCUAGGGUUUGCGGCGGCGGCGGAGGGGUCGCGGGUGUAGGAAGAGGUGAGGGGGACGUCGGCACGUCCGUCCAUCGGGCGAAUUCGCCGGCUGCGGCGUGGGCGGGGCGAAAGUGGCGCGGCAUAGAGGGUUCGGCGCGGGCGCUCGAGUGUGCAGCGCGUGGGAGCGGGCGCAGCAAAUAAACGGCGUGCGAUGGCGUUUCGGACCGCACGAUGAACUACUUAUGCCGCGCACGUGGUUAUUGCGCCUCCGCUGGAGGCCUGGAGCUCCCGGAGCGGUUGCGUGCGCGCUAAAAACCCAAAAUUUCCAGCGCAGUGCUUAUAUAGCGCGGCUAUUGGAUAUGCUCUUAGCACCGUUUCUUUCUCGUGUCACCGUACUAUUCUCUCUCUUCUUAACUAGCAUGCCACAUCAGAUUUUUUUUUUUGCUUAGUUGGUAAUCUUAACGCCUAUAUAAGGUGGAGGGGGAGGGGUCUAUCUAAUCUCGAUAAGCAACCAGCACAAUUAAUUCCAUGAAGAAAGAAACAUUGAAUGCAGGCUUUAACUGGUGCAAAUUAUCCCUAAUAGGAGCAUCAGAGAGAUCAACAUUCGGAUAGAGGCCCAGCGGCAUCUGCGAAUGGACAGCGGAAAAAUAUGUGGUCUGUGUUUUCAACAACAUGCUGAUUGCACAACACCCAGGCAUGCAUACGUGGGCAGGUAAAAAGUUAUCUACCGUCUCUUUGUUUCUCUUCUAUGGAUUUUAUUUUAAAAAAUUCAAAAGUAAACGCUCAUACAUAUGUGCAUACACUCAUUCCUAUGAAGACACACACGUACACCCUACCUCUAUGAGAGCCGGCAUAUCAUGCCACCCUGGUGGGCUGGGAUACCACUAUCUCUCCAUCCAACUACCCAUAUCUUACGUAUUGUCGUGUGUUAUGACCUCAUCCUCUACUUAAAACUGAAAGCUGAUGAAACUGAAUUUUUACAUACAUUUUUACUCCAUUUGUCUUAUGUGGACGCGACAAGAACUUUUAGCAGCCUUUUGUAUUUAUAUUAGAUUUUGAGUUUUCGAGAAAGCACAAGGCUACAGAAUUUUAAGGUUAAGACUGAAUAAGAGCAAACAACCUUCGUAUGAUCGUAUUUUUUUUUUUGAGACCAACCUUCGUAUGAUCGUUGUGACAAGGAGAUGGAAUUCUUUCUCACGGUAGGUUCAACCCAUUUUCUUUCAGUAAGAAAAUCAUCGAUGUCCUUAAUUAUCUGCUCAAAUGGCCAAAUAUGCAGAGCUGCAACUCAUAGAGCACCUAUAGCCGGACUUUGGCAAACUAACGGUCACAUCUCAAAAUUUCCUUCUCAUAAUUAGACAUCUCAAUUAGCAUACCUCAAAUCCAUACAGACUCUUGCAACGUAAACAUAAACGAUGCAACACACAUCGUCCGGCUGCUACAUCAGGACAUGCCAUCACACUAUCAAAAUUUAGCAUGUUCUACCUACAUAUUAAAUAUGGAGAAGAUUGUCCAUGUUUGCCCUUGCCCUUCCCGGUGCCCUUGACGCCCUUCUCGCGGAAGUAGCGGUCAAAAACGUAGUAUGGAUCAAGCCGAAUCUGCUUUUCGCCGGAGUUGUCUGACCCAUCGCUCCNNNNNNNNNNNNNNNNNNNNNNNNNNNNNNNNNNNNNNNNNNNNNNNNNNNNNNNNNNNNNNNNNNNNNNNNNNNNNNNNNNNNNNNNNNNNNNNNNNNNNNNNNNNNNNNNNNNNNNNNNNNNNNNNNNNNNNNNNNNNNNNNNNNNNNNNNNNNNNNNNNNNNNNNNNNNNNNNNNNNNNNNNNNNNNNNNNNNNNNNNNNNNNNNNNNNNNNNNNNNNNNNNNNNNNNNNNNNNNNNNNNNNNNNNNNNNNNNNNNNNNNNNNNNNNNNNNNNNNGCGCGUGUUCCUCUGUUGCCGCUUCCCUAAGAUACGGGCGCGGAUGGCUUCCUCCUCUCAAGCAAUGUGCGUCACCGCCAUGUCGGGAGCAAGGCGGGCCUCGGCCACCCUCAUCCUUUACUUCCCACGGCGGGCACACCGGCCCCGCUAGCACUCAUACUCCGGCGGACCAGUGAUGGGGAAAGGGAGACUGGAAGGCUCCCGGGAGGACCACGAUGAUCCAGGCUCGGAGGAUCCGAGCGCCCAAUGUACCGACGCAAUGUCUCGCACCGGACAGAUCCCACCGUCGGUUGGGUCCGGUCCUCCAGGGAGCGGCGGAGGGCAAUGUGGAUGGGCCAUAGUCUCCUCCAACCCGCACGGGACGACCCCAGUAGACGGAUCUGGACUGGUUGAGUCAGAUUCGCAGCCCGCCAUUGUGGGGAAGGCCGGAGAUCGCCGGACGGGAGCUUUGGGGCGGAGUGGAGUGGAGUGGACUGAAGUGGAGUGGCUAGGGUUUUGUCCAUGGAGCGGAUGGGGACGGAUAUAUGUGGGGUCGGAUGGACCAGCGUGGAUCGGGUCGACGUGGCGGACGCGCCCGGCGCCCCCGGGCCACCCCAUAUCCGCCCCAGAUUUGGGCUGGAUAUGAGGGGCGUCAGUCAACCCGGGCAUUUGAGGCCGGUUUGAGGCGCCCGUCUGGAUCGCUUUUUUUUUACUAUGCUGUCCGCCCAGGCCACCCCAUAUCCGCCCCAGCCAAGGUUGUCAGAAUCGCGAUUUUGAAUCGGAUCGGAGCUCCGAUGGUAGGAUCGCAUAUCAUAGAAUCUUCACUAUCAUGAUCGUAGAAUCGUAUAACAGGAUCGCGAUUCUGACAACCUUGGCCCCAGCUUUGAGCUGGAUAUGAAGGGUGCCAGUCAGCUCGGGCGUUUCAGGCCGGUUUGAGGCGCUCGUCUGGAUUGCUUUUCUUUUGACCGGUCACUGGCCAGGCCGUCCGCCUGAGCCACCCCAUAUCCGCCCCAAAGUUGGCUGGAUAUGAGGGAUGCCGGUCAGCCCGGGCGUUUGAGAAUGGUUUGAGGUGCCCGUCUAGAUCGCUUCUUUUUUAUCCGGCCGUCUGUCCGGGUGCCGGUCAGCGCGGGCUUUUCAGACCGGUUUGAGGAGCCCGUUGGAUCAUUUUUUGACCGGGGCUGGGCCACCCCAUAUCCGCCUCAGAUUUGGGCUGGAUAGGAGGGGUGGCAGUGAGCACCGGCAUUUAAGGCCGGAUUGAGACGUAUGUCUUGAUCGUUUUUUUAUUACCGGCCAGUGACCAGACCAUACGCCCAGGUGUUGAGGCGCCCGUCUCUAUAUGCUCUUAGUAUACAUUUUUUUUUUCUCCCCACAUAACACUUUAGAUUCUUUAACGAGCUAAGUGGUCCAGCCUAAAAUGUCAUAAAUUGUGAGUUUUUUUCAUAUGGCUCAACGGCAAAUUCAACCAGGUGCUCCGCUUCAACAACCGUGGAAACGCUUCCACCUGAUGCGAGCGUUGAAAGGUGUAUCGUUUCCUAUUUCCAAUAGCGUGUUGGUAACUUGGGGAAGGGGAAUAUUACUGUCUAAACCAUUUUUUGCCUUCCCUAACAUACAAUAAAAUUUGCAGACCAUGCAAUGCCCCCUGCACAGCAUUUCCAGUUGAUCACGUUGUUUCGGGAUGGAAAAUGUACUUUGCACAUGAAAUCAACACAAGAGAUAGCAAUUCAGAAGACACACUGACAAACUAUGCCAAGACAAGUCAAUACUACAAUGUAUCAAGUCUGUCGGAGUGGCGGGUACAGAGUACAGAGCGGACAUAGUAAAACCAUGAUGGGCAAACAAACAGCGCCACGGACAAUUUAACACCCACGAAAACAAUCUGAUAGCUAGCUCUUUGACAGAGAGCUUUAUCUUUCCAAAACACCCACAUUAUCUGUCAAGACUAUAUAGUUUAUAAUACGUAAAGGCAGUAUUAGUCCGAAUAUCCAGCUUAUCCAGAUCCAUAGAAGCCCCUGCCGAGAUGCUUCAA